rnacentral:ncRNA from 1 species
UUCUUAUCCAGAGCGGUUGAGGGACUGGCCCGAUGAAACCGCGGCAACCCCCCUUGAACAGGGAAAGGUGCCAACUCCUGUCGGGCAUUUGCCCGGAAGAUGAGAA